rnacentral:rRNA from 1 species
UUGGUGAGGUAACGGCUCACCUAGGCAAUGAUAGGUAGGCGGCCUUAACGGGUGGUCGCCCACACUGGGAUUGAGAUACGGCCCAGACUCCUACGGGAGGCAGCAGUCGAGAAUAGUCUACAAUGGUCGGAAGACUGAUAGUGCGACGCCGCGUGAACGAUGAAUCCCUUCGGGGUGUAAAGUUCUUUUAUAUGUGAGCAGUGCUUCUUAUAUUAAGAGUAUGGGGAGAGAGAUAUUAGCAUAUGAAUAAGCAACGGCUAACUCCGUGCCAGCAGCCGCGGUAACACGGGGGUUGCGAGCGUUGUCCGGAAUUACUAGGCGUAAAGGGCAGGCAGGCGGAUCCAUAAGUUUAUCGUUUAAGGCGUCGGCUUAACCGGCGUAGGGCGGUAGAUACUGUGGAUCUGGAAUGCGGUUGGGGAAGACAGAAUUCCUGGUGUAGCGGUGGAAUGCGCAGAGAUCAGGAGGAAUACCGAAGGCGAAGGCAGUCUUCCAAGCCGUUAUUGACGCUCAACUGCGAAGGUGUGGGUAUCAAACAGGAUUAGAUACCCUGGUAGUCCACACAGUAAACGAUAAUCACUGGGUGUCGGGUUCGCA